rnacentral:tRNA from 1 species
GGCCAGGUGGUGGAAUUGGUAGACACGCUACUUUGAGGGGGUAGUGCCUUCGGGUAUGGGAGUUCGACUCUCCUCCUGGUCACAA